AGAUGUUCUGGGCCGCACGCGCGCUACACUGACAGAGCCAGCGAGUACAUCACCUUGGCCGAAAGGUCUGGGUAAUCUUGUUAAACUCUGUCGUGCUGGGGAUAGAGCAUUGCAAUUAUUGCUCUUCAACGAGGAAUGCCUAGUAAGCGCAAGUCAUCAGCUUGCGUUGAUUACGUCCCUGCCCUUUGUACACACCGC
rnacentral:rRNA from 1 species